rnacentral:rRNA from 1 species
AGUGAACGCUGGCGGCAGGCCUAACACAUGCAAGUCGAGCGGCAGCACAGUGCUUGCUUGCGGUUUCAGGGGGGGACGGGCGGAUGGGUGCGGGGAAUAUGCGAGGCUGCUUGUGCGAAGGUGCGGACGCAGGGGAUCUUACGGCAAUAGCGCAUACGGCGUACGUGGGGAAUCAUCGGAUCUUACGCUCUCGCAUGAGCGAAGGUGGCGAUGUCGGAUUAGCUAGUUGGCGGGGUAAAGGCCCACCAAGGCGACGAUCCGUAGCUGGUCUGAGAGGAUGAUCAGUCACACUGGAACUGAGACACGGUCCAGACUCCUACGGGAGGCAGCAGUGGGGAAUAUUGGACAAUGGGCGCAAGCCUGAUCCAGCCAUGCCGCGUGUGUGAAGAAGGUCUUCGGGUUGUAAAGCCCUUUUAGUGGGAAGGAAGAGCAGUAAGUUAAUACCUCGCUGUUCUGACGGUACCAAAAGAAUAAGCACCGGCUAACUUCGUG